rnacentral:misc_RNA from 1 species
AAAGUCGUAACAAGGUUUCCGUAGGUGAACCUGCGGAAGGAUCAUUACAAAUCAGAGUGGGGAGAUGGGUGGGGUGGAGAGUGGGGUAAAACCCUCUUGUCGCACCGCCCGCCCGCCACACAUAUGCACAGGGCCGCGAGGCUCUGAUGUUUACGCUUGUUUGUUUGACAUAAUCAAUGAUACAAUCUAAUAAUGACAACUUUUAACAAUGGAUCUCUUGGCUCUU